AUGAACGCUGGCGGCGUGGAUAAGGCAUGCAAGUCGAGGGGCCCGCAAGGGCACCGGCGAACGAGGUAGUAAUACGUAGGUACGCACCCGGAAGUUGGGCACAGCUCGCCGAAAGGCGGGGUAAUUCCCAAUGUGAUGGCAACAUCAAAGGAGCAAUUCGCUUCCGGAGCGGCCUGCGGGCUAUCAGCUUGUUGGUAGGGUAAUGGCCUACCAAGGCAAUGACGGCUAUGGGCAGUGAGAGCUGGACCCCCACCGAUGGUACUGAGACACGGACCAUACACCUACGGGUGGCUGCAGUCGAGAAUCUUCCGCAAUGGGCGAAAGCCUGACGGAGCGACGCCGCGUGAUUGAUGAAGUCCCUUUGGGACGUAAAGAUCUUUUGUGGGCUACUAAAUUAUUGAAGAGCCCAAGAAUAAGGGGUUGCUAAACUCGU
rnacentral:rRNA from 1 species